rnacentral:rRNA from 1 species
UACGCAGGCGGCUUGGUAAGACAGGCGUGAAAUCCCCGGGCUUAACCUGGGAACUGCGCUUGUGACUGCCGGGCUAGAGUCUGUCAGAGGGGGGUGGAAUUCCACGUGUAGCAGUGAAAUGCGUAGAGAUGUGGAGGAACACCGAUGGCGAAGGCAGCCCCCUGGGAUAAGACUGACGCUCAUGUACGAAAGCGUGGGGAGCAAACAGGAUUAGAUACCCUGGUAGUCCACGCCCUAAACGAUGUCGACUAGUUGUCGGGGAUUAACUUCCUCGGUAACGCAGCUAACGCGUGAAGUCGACCGCCUGGGGAGUACGGUCGCAAGAUUAAA